rnacentral:rRNA from 1 species
CCUACGGGUUGCAGCAGUGGGGAAUAUUGGACAAUGGGCGAAAGCCUGAUCCAGCAAUGCCGCGUGUGUGAAGAAGGCCUUAGGGUUGUAAAGCUCUUUCACCGGUGAAGAUAAUGACGGUAACCGGAGAAGAAGCCCCGGCUAACUCCGUGCCAGCAGCCGCGGUAAUACGAAGGGGGCUAGCGUUGUUCGGAAUUACUGGGCGUAAAGCGCGCGUAGGCGGAUAGAUAAGUCAGAGGUGAAAUCCCGGGGCUCAACCCCGGAAUUGCCUUUGAUACUGUUUAUCUUGAGUGCAGAAGAGGUAAGUGGAAUUCCGAGUGUAGAGGUGAAAUUCGUAGAUAUUCGGAGGAACACCAGUGGCGAAGGCGGCUUACUGGUCUGCAACUGACGCUGAGGCGCGAAAGCGUGGGGAGCAAACAGGAUUAGAUACCCCGGUAG